AAGCAGCUUGCUGCUUUGCUGACGAGUGGCGGACGGGUGAGUAAUGUCUGGGAAACUGCCUGAUGGAGGGGGAUAACUACUGGAAACGGUAGCUAAUACCGCAUAACGUCGCAAGACCAAAGAGGGGGACCUUAGGGCCUCUUGCCAUCGGAUGUGCCCAGAUGGGAUUAGCUAGUAGGUGGGGUAACGGCUCACCUAGGCGACGAUCCCUAGCUGGUCUGAGAGGAUGACCAGCCACACUGGAACUGAGACACGGUCCAGACUCCUACGGGAGGCAGCAGUGGGGAAUAUUGCACAAUGGGCGCAAGCCUGAUGCAGCCAUGCCGCGUGUAUGAAGAAGGCCUUCGGGUUGUAAAGUACUUUCAGCGGGGAGGAAGGGAGUAAAGUUAAUACCUUUGCUCAUUGACGUUACCCGCAGAAGAAGCACCGGCUAACUCCGUGCCAGCAGCCGCGGUAAUACGGAGGGUGCAAGCGUUAAUCGGAAUUACUGGGCGUAAAGCGCACGCAGGCGGUUUGUUAAGUCAGAUGUGAAAUCCCCGGGCUCAACCUGGGAACUGCAUCUGAUACUGGCAAGCUUGAGUCUCGUAGAGGGGGGUAGAAUUCCAGGUGUAGCGGUGAAAUGCGUAGAGAUCUGGAGGAAUACCGGUGGCGAAGGCGGCCCCCUGGACGAAGACUGACGCUCAGGUGCGAAAGCGUGGGGAGCAAACAGGAUUAGAUACCCUGGUAGUCCACGCCGUAAACGAUGUCGACUUGGAGGUUGUGCCCUUGAGGCGUGGCUUCCGGAGCUAACGCGUUAAGUCGACCGCCUGGGGAGUACGGCCGCAAGGUUAAAACUCAAAUGAAUUGACGGGGGCCCGCACAAGCGGUGGAGCAUGUGGUUUAAUUCGAUGCAACGCGAAGAACCUUACCUGGUCUUGACAUCCACGGAAGUUUUCAGAGAUGAGAAUGUGCCUUCGGGAACCGUGAGACAGGUGCUGCAUGGCUGUCGUCAGCUCGUGUUGUGAAAUGUUGGGUUAAGUCCCGCAACGAGCGCAACCCUUAUCCUUUGUUGCCAGCGGUCCGGCCGGGAACUCAAAGGAGACUGCCAGUGAUAAACUGGAGGAAGGUGGGGAUGACGUCAAGUCAUCAUGGCCCUUACGACCAGGGCUACACACGUGCUACAAUGGCGCAUACAAAGAGAAGCGACCUCGCGAGAGCAAGCGGACCUCAUAAAGUGCGUCGUAGUCCGGAUUGGAGUCUGCAACUCGACUCCAUGAAGUCGGAAUCGCUAGUAAUCGUGGAUCAGAAUGCCACGGUGAAUACGUUCCCGGGCCUUGUACACACCGCCCGUCACACCAUGGGAGUGGGUUGCAAAAGAAGUAGGUAGCUUAACCUUCGGGAGGGCGCUUACCACUUUGUGAUUCAUGACUGGGGUGAAGUCGUAACAAGGUAACCGUAGGGGAACCUGCGGUUGGAUCACCUCCUUACCUUAAAGAA
rnacentral:rRNA from 1 species